rnacentral:lncRNA from 1 species
CCCUGAGUACAUGAUGUAGAUUGGUGGAAGAAUGGUCUGCCAACUUCUUCUUCUCAAGCUCCUCUUUCAGAUCACUGAUAGCCAACCUAGCACUGCCAAGCUGACUAAUAGCCUCCUCCUUGUUAGACACCAUUUUUGCAAAAUCAAGUUUGAAAAUUCGAAGCUCUUCCUCCAUCCUCCUCUUUUCUCCCACUAUUUUGAAAUUUUCUUCACCCAGCUUCAGAUUAUCUCUGAUUUUGUCC